UGGGGUAUAUUGGACAAUGGGCGCAAGCCUGAUCCAGCCAUGCCGCGUGAGUGAUGAAGGCCCUAGGGUUGUAAAGCUCUUUCACCGGUGAAGAUAAUGACGGUAACCGGAGAAGAAGCCCCGGCUAACUUCGUGCCAGCAGCCGCGGUAAUACGAAGGGGGCUAGCGUUGUUCGGAUUUACUGGGCGUAAAGCGCACGUAGGCGGACUUUUAAGUCAGGGGUGAAAUCCCGGGGCUCAACCCCGGAACUGCCUUUGAUACUGGAAGUCGUGACUAUGGUAGAGGUGAGUGGAAUUCCGAGUGUAGAGGUGAAAUUCGUAGAUAUUCGGAGGAACACCAGUGGCGAAGGCGGCUCACUGAACCAUUACUGACUCUGAGGUGCGAAAGCGUGGGGAGCAAACAGG
rnacentral:rRNA from 1 species